AAAAAUUAAAAUAAAAAUACUAAAAUAAUAUAUAAGUAUUUAUUGAAAAUUAAAUAAUUUGGCGGUAUUUUAGUUCAUUUAGAGGAAUCUGUUUAAUAAUUGAUAUUCCACGAAUAAAUUUACUUAAUUUUAUAAUUUUGUAUAUCGUUGUUAAAAAAAUAUUUUUUAAUAAAAUUAAUAUUUUAAAAUUAAAAUAUAAUUUUAAAUCAGAUCAAGAUGCAGAUUAUAAUUAAGAAUAUAAUGGAUUACAAUAAAUUUAUUUAAAUGAAUUUUAAUUUGUAAUAAUUAACUGAAGGUGGAUUUAAAUGUAAUUUUAUUUAAUUUAAUAAAAUGAUUAAAAAUUGGAAUAUGU
rnacentral:rRNA from 1 species